rnacentral:rRNA from 1 species
AGGAAAAGAAACCAACAGGGAUUGCCCUAGUAACGGCGAGUGAAGCGGCAACAGCUCAAAUUUGAAAUCUGGCCCCUUCGGGGUCCGAGUUGUAAUUUGUAGAGGAUGCUUUUGGGCAGUCUCCGGUCUAAGUUCCUUGGAACAGGACGUCAUAGAGGGUGAGAAUCCCGUAUGUGACCGGCAGGCACCCUCCGUAAAGCUCCUUCGACGAGUCGGGUUGUUUGGGAAUGCAGCCCUAAAUGGGAGGUAAAUUUCUUCUAAAGCUAAAUACCGGCCAGAGACCGAUAGCGCACAAGUAGAGUGAUCGAAAGAUGAAAAGCACUUUGGAAAGAGAGUUAAAAAGCACGUGAAAUUGUUGAAAGGGAAGCGCUUGCAAUCAGACUCGGCUUUGGCUGUUCAACCGGUCUUCUGACCGGCCCACUCAGUCAUCGCCGGGCCAGCAUCAGUUUCGGCGGCCGGAUAAAGGCCCUGGGAAUGUAGCUCCCUCGGGAGUGUUAUAGCCCAGGUUGCAAUACGGCCAGCCGGGACUGAGGUCCGCGCUUCGGCUAGGAUGCUGGCGUAAUGGUUGUAAGCGGCCCGU